rnacentral:rRNA from 1 species
GAUGAACGCUGGCGGCGUGCCUAAUACAUGCAAGUCGAGCGAACAGACGAGGAGCUUGCUCCUCUGACGUUAGCGGCGGACGGGUGAGUAACACGUGGAUAACCUACCUAUAAGACUGGGAUAACUUCGGGAAACCGGAGCUAAUACCGGAUAAUAUAUUGAACCGCAUGGUUCAAUAGUGAAAGACGGUUUUGCUGUCACUUAUAGAUGGAUCCGCGCCGCAUUAGCUAGUUGGUAAGGUAACGGCUUACCACGGCGACGAGGCGUAGCCGACCUAAGGGGAGGAUCGGCAGCCCGGAAACGAGGCACCGCGCCAACUUCUGAAGGGAGACACCGUUGGGAAUCCUACGGGAAGGGGCAAAGGCGUAACGGGCAAAAUCGGGGGAAUUAUGAAGGGUCUACGAAGCGUAAACGAAGAUGUUUAGGGAUAAGCAAAUUUCUAAUAACAGUGAAGCUAUUGACGGUACCUAAUCAGAAAGCCACGGCUAACUACGUG